AUAAAAUUUGGAAAAUGCCAAAGUCAACUUGACUCAUGCUCGGAUCAAAGAUUUCUUGUUUGAAGCCGAAUGAGAAUCCUUUGAAUCAGAAAAAUUUUCAUCUUCAGUAACGAGAACAAUGUCCAAUUCUCCCCAAUUCUUCGCGAGCUUCAAGCAAACCUCCCAAUCCCUAAAAGCUAGUCUUCGUCCAUGGUUACUUUUUCUAGACCUCACCUCUCUCUACCUCCCCUCCUCC
rnacentral:misc_RNA from 1 species